ACAGAGCAGGAGAGAGAGAGGUUGCAGAGGAGAGAGUGGGAGCAGAGAGAGGGAGAGAGAGUUUGCUGAGUGUGAGUAGUAUUUGAUGUGUCUAGCCUCUCUUCUAAGCAACUUAUUGGAAUUAAGUGUCACUUCUACCUCCUGGAGCCUCUCAGCUGACCAUUUCUCCUCUAUCAGGAGUUAGCAGGCAGCUGCCCAGCCUACUGUCUCACACACACACACACACACACACACGCACACACACACACACACACCAACAGCGCUGGGGAGGAGCAGCACAAAGGCACUUCAAGAGGCAGUCGGAUACACAGUCACCCUGGGAUAGGAGUGUGUUUUCUAUCAGGGUGCUCCAAGGAUGGGCAGCGGAGGUCCAGUUGGUGAGUGUCGUUGAUGUCCCCCUCUGGUGGUUUACACUGGGAGGAUUUCUACAAGCCACCACAAGAAUGGCCAGGGGAUGUACUGGUUGGAGAUCGCCGUAGCUGUCCCCCUCUGAUGGUUUACCCUGGAAGGAUUUCUGCAAGCUGCUGGCAGCUCCAAGGAUGGGCCGGGGAUGUCCGGGUUGGGCAUUGCCGUUCAGGACCUGUUCUCUGUUUGUCCAGGCUGAUAGAUCUGGGCAGUAACUUAAAUAAAUACAUAAUUUCAUUUCUUUACCAAAUGAGCGGCAUUUUGGCACUAAGUGUUGGUUGUAUGGGGACUUUGUUUAUGUUUAUCACUUCCUAAGUGUCAAGGGAAAUUAACCGAAAAGGAAUGAAAGCAUAAACAAAAGAUAUAUAAAAUAUAGUUCUCACACCUUAAUCAUCUAAUUGGACUGUAUUCUAUAUACCUUCAUGGUCGUUGCUACAUGACUCUAUCAUGGCAUUGUCUCUAAUGUCAUGUCUAGGGCAUUCCUAAUUUGCGGUGUGUUGCUUAGGGCACUAUCCUAAGUUUAUAUCUUAAGUCUACAGCUGCAAGGCACCAGUUUCGGCCAGUCUACAGGGAAGACCUAUGGACCUCUAUGGAGAAACUGGUGAGUACUGUAGCUGUAGAGUAAAAGGCCUCAAAGUAAAUGUUCAACUUUACUAAGUCUGGUAUUUUGCUCGGACCACUAAGUGAAUAAAAUAAAUAUAAAUCCUUACUGAA